UGGAGGCACUGCCUGCCGGUGACAUUAGUUAAACGGCCGCGGUAUCCUGACCGUGCAAAGGUAGCAUAAUCAUUUGUUCUCUAAAUAAGGACUUGUAUGAAAGGCCACACGAGGGUUUAACUGUCUCUUACUUCCAAUCAGUGAAAUUGACCUUCCCGUGAAGAGGCGGGAAUAAAAUAAUAAGACGAGAAGACCCUAUGGAGCUUUAAUUAACCAGCUCAAAAGAAUUUACUUACCAGACCGACAGGAACAACACUCUCCUUCCAUGAGCUGACAAUUUGGGUUGGGGCGACCUCGGAGCAUAAAAGAACCUCCGAGUGAUAUUAAUCUAGACAUACCAGUCAAAAUGCUCACUUACUUAUUGAUCCAAAGCUUCUUUGAUCAACGGAACAAGUUACCCUAGGGAUAACAGCGCAAUCCUAUUCAAGAGUCCAUAUCGACAAUAGGGUUUACGACCUCGAUGUUGGAUCAGGACAUCCUAAUGGUGCAGCAGCUAUUAAGGGUUCGUUUGUUCAACGAUUAAAGUCCUACGUGAUCUGA
rnacentral:rRNA from 1 species